rnacentral:rRNA from 1 species
UAACGGCUCACCAAGGCCGAGAUGCCUAGCGGGUGUGAGAGCACGACCCGCGCCACUGGCACUGAGACACUGGCCAGACACCUACGGGUGGCUGCAGCAGAGGAUCAUCGGCAAUGCGCGAAAGCGUGACGCAGCAACGCCGCGUGGGGGAAGAAGGCCGCCGGGUUGUAAAGCUCUUUUGUGCGGGAAGAUAAUGACGGUACCGCAAGAAUAAGCCCCGGCUAACUUCGUGCCAGCAGCCGCGGUAAUACGAAGGGGGCUAGCGUUGCUCGGAAUCACUAGGCGUAAAGGGUGCGUAGGCGGGUCUUUAAGUCAGGGGUGAAAUCCUGGAGCUCAACUCCAGAACUGCCUUUGAUACUGAGGAUCUUGAGUUCGGGAGAGGUGAGUGGAACUGCGAGUGUAGAGGUGAAAUU